rnacentral:rRNA from 1 species
GACGAACGCUGGCGGCGUGCCUAAUACAUGCAAGUCGAACGCAUUUUCUUUCACCGUAGCUUGCUACACCGAAAGAAAAUGAGUGGCGAACGGGUGAGUAACACGUGGGUAACCUGCCCAUCAGCGGGGGAUAACACUUGGAAACAGGUGCUAAUACCGCAUAAUUCCAUUUACCGCAUGGCAGAUGGAUGAAAGGCGCUUUUGCGUCACUGAUGGAUGGACCCGCGGUGCAUUAGCUAGUUGGUGGGGUAACGGCCUACCAAGGYUGCGAUGCAUAGCCGACCUGAGAGGGUGAUCGGCCACACUGGGACUGAGACACGGCCCAGACUCCUACGGGAGGCAGCAGUAGGGAAUCUUCGGCAAUGGACGCAAGUCUGACCGAGCAACGCCGCGYGAGUGAAGAAGGUUUUCGG